rnacentral:rRNA from 1 species
GAGCGGAAAGGCCCUUUCGGGGGUACUCGAGCGGCGAACGGGUGAGUAACACGUGAGUAAUCUGCCCUGCGCUCUGGGAUAGCCACCGGAAACGGUGAUUAAUACCGGAUAGGACCACUUCACGCAUGUGAUGGUGGUGGAAAGUUUUUUCGGCGCAGGAUGUGCUCGCGGCCUAUCAGCUUGUUGGUGAGGUAACGGCUCACCAAGGCUUUGACGGGUAACCGGCCUGAGAGGGUGACCGGUCACACUGGGACUGAGACACGGCCCAGACUCCUACGGGAGGCAGCAGUGGGGAAUAUUGGACAAUGGGCGGAAGCCUGAUCCAGCAACGCCGCGUGAGGGAUGACGGCCUUCGGGUUGUAAACCUCUUUCAGUACCGACGAAGCGAAAGUGACGGUAGGUACAGAAGAAGGACCGGCCAACUACGUGCCAGCAGCCGCGGUAAUACGUAGGGUCCGAGCGUUGUCCGGAAUUAUUGGGCGUAAAGGGCUCGUAGGCGGUUUGUCGCGUCGGGAGUGAAAACACCGGGCUUAACUCGGUGCUUGCUUUCGAUACGGGCAGACUAGAGGUAUGCAGGGGAGAAUGGAAUUCCUGGUGUAGCGGUGAAAUGCGCAGAUAUCAGGAGGAACACCGGUGGCGAAGGCGGUUCUCU